rnacentral:rRNA from 1 species
UACGUAGGUGGCAAGCGUUGUCCGGAAUUAUUGGGCGUAAAGAGCGCGCAGGUGGUUGAUUAAGUCUGAUGUGAAAGCCCACGGCUUAACCGUGGAGGGUCAUUGGAAACUGGUCGACUUGAGUGCAGAAGAGGGAAGUGGAAUUCCAUGUGUAGCGGUGAAAUGCGUAGAGAUAUGGAGGAACACCAGUGGCGAAGGCGGCUUCCUGGUCUGUAACUGACACUGAGGCGCGAAAGCGUGGGGAGCAAACAGG